AGCAGCCGCGGUAAUUCCAGCUCCAAUAGCGUAUAUUAAAGUUGUUGCAGUUAAAAAGCUCGUAGUUGAAUUUCGGGAUCAACAUGUCGGUCGUGCCUCUGGUAUGUACUGGUAUCGUUGAUUUCUACCUUCUGACGAACCAUGAUGUCAUUAAUUUGGUGUCAUGGGGAAUCAGGACUGUUACUUUGAAAAAUUAGAGUGUUUAAAGCAGGCAUACGCUUGAAUACAUUAGCAUGGAAUAAUGAAAUAGGACGUUUGACCCUAUUUUGUUGGUUUCUAGGAUCGACGUAAUGAUUAAUAGGGAUAGUUGGGGCAUUAGUAUUCAAUUGUCAGAGGUGAAAUUCUUGGAUUUAUUGAAGACUAACUACUGCGAAAGCAUUUGCCAAGGAUGUUUUCAUUAAUCAAGAACGAAAGUUAGGGGAUCGAAGACGAUCAGAUACCGUCGUAGUC
rnacentral:rRNA from 1 species